UACGAAGGGUGCAAGCGUUAAUCGGAAUUACUGGGCGUAAAGCGUGCGUAGGCGGUCUUUUAAGUCCGAUGUGAAAGCCCUGGGCUCAACCUGGGAAUGGCACUGGAUACUGGAAGGCUAGAGUACGGUAGAGGAGGGUGGAAUUCCACGUGUAGCGGUGAAAUGCGUAGAGAUGUGGAGGAACACCAGUGGCGAAGGCGGCUCUUUGGUCUGUAACUGACGCUGAGGCGCGAAAGCGUGGGGAUCAAACAGG
rnacentral:rRNA from 1 species